ensembl:ncRNA lncRNA:CR42790 long non-coding RNA:CR42790
AGAAGGAAAUUAUAAUUGCUGUAGUGUAUGCAGCAAGGCAGGAGACCAGGAACCCAGGAAGCAAACUCCCUGGAUGUUGCAUGUUCCUGCCGCCAGCAAGGAAAUGAAAACGCCCCCAUGUGUGAGCCAAAAAGCCAACGACCUGGGCAGGGCAGGCACAAACUACAAAGCGGGGGAAAAAAAAAUAAACACACCGGAGUCGGAGGAGUCCUGCCGCAGAGCAACUAUAAAAAGGACACCCUGCAACCGUGUGUACCGGAGUCUCUAUCGGUGUCAGCCAGCAGCUUACAAAGUCAGACGCAUUUGUGUGUGUAUCUGUGUGUGCCGAACGAAGGACGCUCCCAGCUUUUAAGUAUAAUUUUCCAGAUACACAGGCCGAGCACUGGAGUCCAGGUGGCAACUGCUAGACAAAAACGAUGUGCACGCCCCCACAAAAAACACACACACACACAGAGACAAGAACGUACAGGAGCAGAAGGACCAGAAGGACCAGCCAGCUAAACGAGUAGGUGGAGAAAAUUUAAUAUGAUUAUGUUGAAGUAAAUUGCUUGAAACAAAUGUUGCAUGGGCAUCCGCCCAGCGAUCUCCACCUGUGCAUGUGCAUAUGUACAUACAUACAUAUACACACCCAUCUAUUUGGCAGCCAGACUUUGAUUCACUCAGUUGGCAGACCUUUAAAAAGCAAUUAAGGACAAUACGAUUUGCUCCUCAAAGGCUACAAGCUGUCAACGAGUUGAGAAUGAUGGUGGGUAAGUUCUGCCCUUAUUGUGUGGCCAAUAAAAUACUAUAUGGGCUGCAGUGAUUUGCAAACAAUAUAAAUAAAUUAUGUUAGAGCUAACAACAAUUGAUACUGUUUGGUAUGUAAUGUAUUUUUUACAUUUUCAUUAACAGACGCAAGAAGUUUAACGAGCCAAAAUCAUUAGACUAAUUAUUGCCGCCUCAUUAGCGAGCUAUCAAAUAAUGAUAUGCCAUUAUUGCUGUCAUCCCGUUGGUUGGUCAUCAGAAUGUGUAUCUCUAAUACUAAUUAAAAUUAUCAAAUGAUGUGCACACGAAUCCACAGAAAAAGCGCAGGCAGAGCGAACGUAGUUGGCAUGUCUGCAAUGUGGCAUGCCGCCGUUGGCAAAUCAAUUGACAUGCCGCGAUGCCAAUCGUCAACAGCCCUCAGUCCAUGAUAAUUAAAUUGCACAUUGCAUUUUAUUGCAAUUCAAUUAAAAUAUAAAAUAUUUUUCAAUUGGUUCACUGAAGCGGUUAGCCGUCGUUCGACUCCGAGCCACGUAAUUAAAUUAAUCAACGAUGCUUUCACUCAUUGCCACCAUUGCUGCCAACGUCUAUCUGCUACCAACAUGUGAAACAAUUCGGUGGUAAUACGUAUAUACAUAUUUCCCAUGAAAAAUAAAUAGCACAAAAAAAGGGUUC